rnacentral:rRNA from 1 species
GGGGAAUAUUGGACAAUGGGCGAAAGCCUGAUCCAGCCAUGCCGCGUGAGUGAUGAAGGCCCUAGGGUUGUAAAGCCCUUUCACCGGGGAAGAUAAUGACGGUACCCGGAGAAGAAGCCCCGGCUAACUUCGUGCCAGCAGCCGCGGUAAUACGAAGGGGGCUAGCGUUGUUCGGAAUUACUGGGCGUAAAGCGCACGUAGGCGGACUGGUCAGUUAGGGGUGAAAUCCCGGGGCUCAACCCCGGAACUGCCUUUAAUACUGCCAGUCUAGAGUUCGAGAGAGGUGAGUGGAAUUCCGAGUGUAGAGGUGAAAUUCGUAGAUAUUCGGAGGAACACCAGUGGCGAAGGCGGCUCACUGGCUCGAUACUGACGCUGAGGUGCGAAAGCGUGGGGAGCAAAC